UGCGUAGGUGGUUUCUUAAGUCAGAGGUGAAAGGCUACGGCUCAACCGUAGUAAGCCUUUGAAACUGGGAAACUUGAGUGUAGGAGAGGAGAGUGGAAUUCCUAGUGUAGCGGUGAAAUGCGUAGAUAUUAGGAGGAACACCAGUUGCGAAGGCGGCUCUCUGGGCCGUUACUGACGCUGAGGAGCGAAAGCGUGGGGAGCAAACA
rnacentral:rRNA from 1 species